ACUAGAUAGUGUACAGUAUAUAAGAUAAUAGAGAUAUAGAUUCAAAUCAUAAUGGUUUUUGAAAAUUGAAAAUAGGGAUCGAAAAGAGAGAGAGAGAAGGGGGACCGCCAUGAAAGGAAGGAGAGUGGUCCGAUGGUUGGUUCAUCCAUGUCUCCUACUUCUUUGUCUUCGCAGUUCUGCAUUUUGAAUUUAGUUUCAUCGAGAGUGAUGUAGCUUUGAGCAGAUAUGUUUUGUGUUGGACCAACACCACCAAACUCAACUACAAAUCAACCUCUAUGCAGGCUUCAAACACUUUCCAUAGCCUCUUCUCACCUAACAUUGUGGAUUUCCAUUCAUCUCUACACUUAUUGUCUCAUACCUCUCUCCUUUCGUCUGUAACUUCUCAACUAUUUACCGUUUUGUUACUGUUUGAUAUAUAUAUACAAAAAACUGAAAUUAAAUAAA